UACGGAGGGAGCUAGCGUUGUUCGGAAUUACUGGGCGUAAAGCGCGCGUAGGCGGCUUUGUAAGUUAGAGGUGAAAGCCCGGAGCUCAACUCCGGAACUGCCUUUAAAACUGCAUCGCUUGAAUCCAGGAGAGGUGAGUGGAAUUCCGAGUGUAGAGGUGAAAUGCGUAGGUAUCGGAAGGAACAUCAGUGGCGAAGGCGACUUCCUGGACCAAUACUGACGCUCAGGUGCGAAAGCGUGGGGAGCAAACAGG
rnacentral:rRNA from 1 species